GCUUUGCUCGGCUUGGAAAGGGCGAACCAACGGGGCCAACGCCCCCAAGGGGAGAUUUCCAGGUUGGAUCAUCGGAGCGAUGGGGGACCCAUCGUCCCCAGCCGCGCUCAAGACAAACGCAUGGGGUCCUUGAGUGGCUCAGACUGCUAAGACAGUCUGUUAUUAACAGCAGCUGCUUGCACUUACUGCAGGUUCAAGUCCCACCAGGCCCAAGGUUGACUCAGCCUUCCAUCCUUUAUAAGGUAGGUAGAAUGAGGACCCAGAUUGUUGGGGGCAAUAAAAGUUGACUUUGUAUAUAAUAUACAAAUGGAUGAAGACUAUUGCUUGGCAUAGUGUAAGCCGCCCUGAGUCUUCUGAGAAGGGCGGGAUAUAAAUGCAAAUAAUAAUAAUAAAAGAAGGCUACUCAAGGGACUAAACCAGAACGAUGACACAUUUGUAUCUUUCUCUGGUCCGGAGCAAAGCUUGACCGGUUGAAUUCCUACCUGCUGGGCCAACAGAUCCCAGCAGGCUGUGCUUAAAAAGGAAUUGGCAAUUAUUAUUAUUUUUAUCCCUUCCAUUGGAGUCAUGGCUCCAAUGGCUCCCAAAUCUUUUUUUUUUUCCUUGCAAAUCAGGUCCUAGAGUCAAAUCUCCCGACCUUAAUUUGGUCCUAUUAUUGGUCUCUGGGACUGGCCCGCUUCACAGGGUCGUUGGCUGCUGGAAAGGAGAAACACGGUGUCUUGAAGAGAAAGAUGAAAUACAAACUGAAUGUAGUAAUCGCAUGAGGAUGGGGUCCUCACAAAUUUUUAACAAGGGGGUCUCUGCCUGGUUGCUGGGUGGGUGUGGCUUAGUAGGCCUCCUGCACCACAGGGGCGGGGCAUUUUUCCUUUCCCUGGGUUCCAAAGGUUUUCCUUGAGCCUCCGGGAGGGUGAAAACAACCUCCCCAGGCUCCGGAGGCCCUCUGGAGGCCAGAAAUGGGCCCGUUUAUGGCCUUCCCGAACUUCCGGUAGACCCGUUUUUCGCCCUUCCCGAGCCUCUGCGUGCGCCCUGCACUUACCUGUAUCCAAAACGGGCCAUGUGGGGACUCCUGGGAAGGGAGGGGCGGGGUGGGCGUGGCCAGCCAGGAUUGGGAUUUGGGGGGUUCUCCGAACGGUACAGAACCUUAGCUAGAGGUUGUCCCGAAACCCCUGCAAACCCCCAGCAGCCCCACCCCUGGUCGUCAAUGCAAUGCACGUGAAUUUAGACAAUGAGGACUAGUGUGCUGUGGUCCCUGAGACCAGGAAGAGUUGGCUACCACUUAGCAAUUGAACAACCACCACCACAACAACAACAACGAUAAGCUUGGCCACCUUUAGAAGCCAAGGAACAAAAACAAGAACCAAAGGCGCAUUUUGAAAUUAAGGCGUCGCCAGCUGAAAGUACUAUGGGAAGAAAUGUCCUUCUGGAUUCAGUUCCAAGUGGGGAAGAAAAACCCUUGGAAAGAUGGUUUAAUGCUGGACAGGAUCACAUGGUUUAUGAGGUCCUGGGCAGAAAUGGGCAGAGAUGCUGAGAGUGCCUGAGUUUCAUGCCCUCUCUGGGCUUUUGAAUUUGAGCUUGCAUUCUGAUUGGUUGUCAGACUCCCGUGGGGCCGUGCAGGGGUAACUUUGUAGGUUUGAGUCUGAGGCUUGGUUGAGCCUUGCUGGGUGAUGAUGUAAUGAAAGAGGCUUUGGGCAAUUCCUACUAUGGCUCUGCCUGCAGGAGGUAGAUCUUUGUUAUGUAGAAUAGACUGACCCAGGCCUGGGUCAAGGUUGUGGGGGUGGGCUGAGUUUCUGCCUCUUUUUUAAGGGGAAAUAUUCUGCCCUUUUAAUAUUUCCUAAAAUAUCUCUAGGAGAGGGGUGGGUGCUAACAACUUCCUACAGUGCAGGGAAGUGAUUUAGGGAACCAAGAUCUCCAUCUCUUCUGGGCUCAGCAGAAGCUCUGACUCAAUUUUCCUGGAAUCCGUUGGCGGUCACCAGGAGCCAAAAAAAAAAAAAAAAGGUUGAACAGAUGAAAUUCAGCCCAGACAGACUGUGUUUGUUUUCAGCGAUGACGGGAGGGAAAAUAACUCAUCUAGCCAAGGAAGGGGUGAAAAUCCCAACCGAAGAGGCAGCAGAGGCCACAAGGUUUGCCAUCGGUACCUCCCCGUCGUCUUUUGAAAGUUCUUUGAAGGACAGAAUGAGCUGGAGAAUGAUGACGAUGAUGAUUUUGUAGCCCGCUCAGAAGGAUCUCGGUGUGGGAAGGAGAGUAAAGUAAAGGUGUGCUAGUUGUUCCCGACUCUAGGGGGCGGUGCUCAUCUCCGUUUCAAAGCCGAAGAGCCAGCGCUGUCCGAAGACGUCUCCGUGGUCACGUGAUUGGCAUGACUCAACACCAAAGGCGCACGGAACGCUGUUCCCUUCCCACCAAAGGUGGUCCCUAUUUUUCUACUUGCAUUUGUUUUUACCUGCUUUCGAACUGCUAGGUUGGCAAAAGCUGGGACAAGUCACGGGAGCUCACCCCGUUACGCGGCGCUAGGGAUUCGAACCGCUGAACUGCCGACCUUUCGAUCGACAAGCUCAGCGUCUUAGCCACUGAGCCACUGCGUCCUGAGGAGGACGCUUCUACCAAGAAUACGGGAAAAGUGUCAUCCAUUUGCAGUUGGAAAGGGCACACGCUUGUAAAUGAAUAUAUACGCCUCUCGCUAUCUCACCUCCACCAAGCCUUCGGUCCAAAGUCUAACAUUACUUCAACCGCGGAAGCCAUGAUUCCUAGUCUCCUUUAUGUGCUUUCUUGACAUUAUUCCAUCCGAGAGCGAACCAAGUCUGAUCUUGGUUAGGUUUGAAGCUCAAGACCAGCCAGCAAUAUUUCUGCCUUUGCUGAUUGUGAAUGUUAUUCUUCGCCCUAGAAGCCACACUCUUGGCAGGUGUUUCAUUUUAACUACAAAUUACUCAACUCUCUGAUUCGGUCACAAUUUGUUCCUCCUGUCCAGAUAAAACAAAAACACGUGUUUUUUUUUUUUUUAAAGUCCUACAGGGAAGGCCUGAAGGGGAAUGCGUACACCCAGGUUUUUCGUAAGAAAAAGUCACCAAAUACUAUUUGUGAGUAAGAAACCGGUAAGGCGAGCAAUGAAUCAGCCCUUCAUUAUGAAACAGGUAAAUAUUUUUAUGCCCGUUUCAUAGGUGGGAAGAUAAAACUGUCAAGCGGCACGAGCUUUUUCGGCUAAUCCAGUCCGGUGAUUCAAGGCGCCGACAGCACACUGACAGGUGUCCAGCCUGGUGAUCUUGCUCGUGGCAUCGGAUUCCACAGAAAAAAGGAGACCAAACGCCACCCUCGUGAAUU